rnacentral:rRNA from 1 species
UCGGCGGCCCAACUUUUCUAAGGUUGACCUCGGAUCAGGUAGGAAUACCCGCU